GACGAACGCUGGCGGCGUGCCUAAUACAUGCAAGUAGAACGCACAGUUUAUACCGUAGCUUGCUACACCAUAGACUGUGAGUUGCGAACGGGUGAGUAACGCGUAGGUAACCUGCCUGGUAGCGGGGGAUAACUAUUGGAAACGAUAGCUAAUACCGCAUAAUAUUAAUUAUUGCAUGAUAAUUAAUUGAAAGGUGCAAUUGCACCACUACCAGAUGGACCUGCGUUGUAUUAGCUAGUAGGUGAGGUAACGGCUCACCUAGGCGACGAUACAUAGCCGACCUGAGAGGGUGAUCGGCCACACUGGGACUGAGACACGGCCCAGACGCCUACGGGAGGCAGCAGGAGGGAAUCUUCGGCAAUGGACGAAAGUCUGACCGAGCAACGCCGCGUGAGUGAAGAAGGUUUUCGGAUCGUAAAGCUCUGUUGUAAGAGAAGAACGGGUGUGAGAGUGGAAAGUUCACACUGUGACGGUAUCUUACCAGAAAGGGACGGCUAACUACGUG
rnacentral:rRNA from 1 species